rnacentral:lncRNA from 7 species
AUCUUAACUAUGCUAAAAGAAUUAUGCCUGGUUCUACACUAGCUGUCCCAUUGGACUAUGCCACAAUUGCCCUAGAGACAUCUCAUUCCCUGGAUACUGUGGAGAACUGUGUAAAUGAGACUGUGAUGUAUCUCUCUCGCUGUAUCUCAAACGGACUGAAUGUUGACUUUGUUCUCAGGGAUAUGGGUGUCCUCCUUAUCAGGCAAAAGAAAGUCAAAAUGAGGUUUUAUGAAAACUUUCUUCUCAGCCUGGAUGCAGCAGGAAACUUGAAGGAAAUUAUUACCAGUGUAAGUCUUACACAGUACAACUGAGAGGAUUUCCAACUGAAUCUCAAGGGCCUGUUGAACUGGUGCCUCCUGGUGUGCCAUGACUUAUCUGGCCACUUGGCUUAGAUGUAAAGUACAACAGAGGAGUUGCUCUUUGGACUUCUCGUAUAGUUGGUUGUCUUGCUGAAAUGUAAGACAUGAAAGACAGCUGUGUUGGACCAAACCAAGGAUCACAGAACAGCUGAAAUUGGAAUGGUCCUCUGGAUAUCAUCUUGUCCAAGUCCCUUGCUCAAGCAAAGCCACUUAGACCAACUUGCCAAGGACCAUAUCCUGGUGGCUGUUAAAUACUGAUCCCUGGGCUGAUGGAUCCAGUCCAGCAUUCUACCCCUGAAGACUGAGGGAAGAACCAACCUGUGCUCACCACCGCUGACUCCUCCAGUAGUCAAGAGAUUUAUUUUCUGGUUUAAUCCAUUAAGUGUCACUCUUAAAGAAAGGCUGGCAGUUUAAGUACCUAGAAUCAGUUCUUUGAAUUGGUAUCUCUGCUUGUUGUAAUGAGACUAAAGUUAAUGCAAGAGGACUUUGCUGGAGAGCAUUGCAGGAGGCAGCUGCUGCUUUUAUCAGCUGAAAGGUUUGCUACCUUGGUUAGCAACAUGUUAAUUGCCUUGAGAUAAUCUUGCCUAUCUCUGUCCCUCUUGCAGAGGAAGAAAGGGACGAUGAACUGGGUCAUUUCCCAGGGAGAAACUGGAGUUUCUGAUGUCUGUACAGAGCCUGACAUCCUGUUUCCCAGCCUGAAGUUUAAGACCGAACAUGGAAAAUUCCUCCUUGAAUCCCUCCGUGAAAGACCUACCAAAACCUUGCAGGAGAAGAAGACAAAAUAAUGUGUUUAAGGAAAAGAUUAACAGAAAAGGUAAUGUCAGAGCAGAUUCCUGGUAGCGCUCAGUGUGUUCUCCCUGUGAAGUAACGCUGCUUCUCCAAGAGACUCUGUCAGGUCCUGGCAUCUCCCAACCAACCUUUCACAAAAGGGAAACAAUGAAGCAAU